GGGUGAGUAACACGUAUGCAACCUGCCCCUGUCAGGGGGACAACCCGCCGAAAGGCGGGCUAAACCCGCGUACAUGCCACCGGGGCAUCCCGGAGGCAGGAAAGGCUUCGGCCGGACAGGGAUGGGCAUGCGGCGCAUUAGGCAGUAGGCGGGGUAACGGCCCACCUAACCGACGAUGCGUAGGGGUUCUGAGAGGAAGGUCCCCCACACUGGUACUGAGACACGGACCAGACUCCUACGGGAGGCAGCAGUGAGGAAUAUUGGUCAAUGGUCGGGAGACUGAACCAGCCAAGCCGCGUGAGGGAGGAAGGUACAGAGUAUCGUAAACCUCUUUUGUCAGGGAACAAAGACUGGGACGCGUCCCCGGAUGAGUGUACCUGAAGAAAAAGCAUCGGCUAACUCCGUGCCAGCAGCCGCAGUAAUACGGAGGAUGCGAGCGUUAUCCGGAUUUAUUGGGUUUAAAGGGUGCGCAGGCGGUCUGUUAAGUCAGCGGUCAAAGCCCGGGGCUCAACCCCGGCCCGCCGUUGAAACUGGCAGUCUCGAGUUGGAGAGAAGUAUGCGGAAUGCGCGGUGUAGCGGUGAAAUGCAUAGAUAUCGCGCAGAACUCCGAUUGCGAAGGCAGCAUGCCGGCUCCACACUGACGCUGAGGCACGAAAGCGUGGGUAUCGAACAGGAUUAGAUACCCUGGUAGUCCACGCAGUAAACGAUG
rnacentral:rRNA from 1 species